AGUCCCGCUGGGGUGUUACCGUAUUCACACAUGGCGACUGUGAAUAGUCCUGGCUGCCUUUAAGAGUGUUUGAGAUUGCAGUGCAAUCGUUGCGUUCAUGGGGAUUCUCAUCCAGGUCAGGGCUCGGGGAGGUUCUGAGGAGAGCCAAACACUGUGCUGGCGGACAGGACUUCUCGAGGAGCAGCGCUGAGCACCCAGACACUUCUCUGACCGACCCCGCGCUGCCCCGAGGUGCCAGGAGUGACAGCAUUCCCACGAGCAGCGCAGGCUCUGACUACGGUCUCGGGAGCGGGCAGCCUGCCCGGCGGUGCAGGCCAGUGACCGAGCAGCUUUCCCCGGGCAGCUUUGUGUGGCGAGGCCUCCAGGUGACAGCCUGAAGAACAGAGACCAAGGGCACAGCCGCUCGCCUGCACCACAAAUCCCUGCUUCGGACCAAGACAGGAAACCGCACCAGGAAGAGCUGCAGGAGCCACAAAACUCAGAGCUUCAAUGCCUA